AAUGCUUUCUUUCUUUCUUUUUUUUUUUUUUCCCUCGUCCCCCUUUGGAAAGCCUGAAGGGGCUGCGCCGGAAUGAGCGCUUUGGGGAGCCCCAAGGUACUGGCUGCGGCAAGUGUGAUGUUGGACUGGAAGGGAGGGCUGGGGAAAUCGAGGCUGCAGAGGACCCUGCUGUCUGUAACGCAGAAGGGGAAGCGGGGAGAGAAGGACCUGUGUUGGUUUCCAGGCGGAAGGAGAACUGGGAAAACAGGGCAAGAGGUCAGGGGUUGUAAAAGUGAAUGCUGCCUCCACGACUGGUACUCACUCUCCAUCAACAGAAGGACAACUGACCUGCAAUAUUCUAGGGAUUUCUCCGUCUGGCUCCAAUCCCAGCGCGUUAGGAGUCGUGCCUUCAAACUGAACCUGCUCGCUGGCCCUGGUGUGUCCUCUCUCCUCCCAUCUCCCGAUCAGGAGGCAAACAGACGAACCAUUCAACCCACAGGAAACAGAGGCUUUUCUUUGAAAGCAGAAAUGCGGACCGAAAGUAUUUUAAAACAUUCCUCCCCAGAUGUGACACUACCGUGUGCAUCCGAUGUUGCUUUGAUUCCUUCCAGCCCCCUGCCUCCUGGGUGUUUCUUUAAAGGAUGCCUUUUGCAUUUGCAAACUAUUAGAGGACCAGCGUUUGGAAAAUAGGAGCGACAUCCUUUCAAAAGGCUGGAAACGUCUUUUGUUUUAGCUCUGGAGUCAGAGGUCACCUUUGAUGUUCCAGAAAUACUUUGAAUCUUUAAUUCGACUACAUGCAGAAGAUAGGGAGGAGAGUGACAUUUGAGACAUUUUUAUUGGAACUGUUUUUACAGAGGGACCACAACCCACACACAAAUGUCUGCCAUAAUUUUACUACACGAAAAGUGUAAGUGAGUGUCAGUCACUCGUCUGUGUCCGCCUCUUUUGUGACCCUGUGGCCUGCAGCCCGCCAGGCUCUCCUCUGUCCAUGGGAUUCUCCAGGCAAGAAUACUGAAGUGGGUUGCCGUUCCCUUCUCCAGGGCAUCUUCCCGACCCAGGGAAUCAAACUCAGGUCUCCUGCAAUGCAGGCGGAUUCCUUACCUUUUGAGCCACCCUCAUAUAAUGUAAGACUAUGUGAUAAAUGCAAAACAUAACACAUCUUCACGGAAAAUGCAAACAGUGAAGAUUCAUGACAAGCACCAGACAUCAAUGGAAUCACCCACAAUCUACAGCGUGGCAGUGUGUAAAUGAAAAAAAAAAAACAAGAAAUUUAAACUUAACAAAGAGAAGCAAAUGCCUCUGCUUUGAGGAUUCUGGCAAAGACCUCGAAAACUGCAGCUGUUCAGAGCAAAUGCACAUUUUCACUGUCACGGAGCAGGUAGAUGAAAAGAACAGAGAAAGUGGUGGUCAAAAAAAUACUAUGAUGAGAGGAGUUUCAAAUUGAGUAAAGCAGAUGGCAAGGGGCCACCGCUUAAGCCACUGUACAUCUUGGAAGACAAAUUCAAAAAGGAAGCCAAUUUCCAAAUUAAAAAAAUAAAGCCAUCGCGGAAAGAAUGGUUCCUUUUUUUUUUUUCCCCUCCCCACUUUUUUUUUUUUCUUGCUUCUUCUUGAGCUGUGCCUACUUGCCCCGUUACUGAUCAUCUGGGAAUUUGUGGUGGCGAAUUUUUUAUGUACAAUUUGUUUUUAAGAGUGCCAUGAUGCCCUGGAAAGGGAGUGGAUGGUUUGCGGCUGUGGGAGGGGGGCGGGGGAGGGAGCGGUGGUUAGCUUUGGUUUAGGGGGAGAAAAAAAUGAUGAAGCGUCAAAAGAUUCUUUCUCAACACUGUUUUCUUUGAAAGAGGUUUCAGGUUCGUUUCUGGCUCAUCAUGGAUGCUGUGUUAAAUUAAAGGGUUGUGGGGGCAAGCGUCUAUUAAAGAGAUCUAAAAAUAAAACAA